ACGGAGCUUUCACCACACCAGGGAGGGCCGUGUGGAGGAGGGACUGUUGGCUAGGAGCUGUGACCUUGAGCAAGGACGGGACCCGCCACAAGGGGGAGCCAGGAGAACAAAGAGCCAUAUCCCUCCCUCCCUCUCUCCACCUCCUUCCAGGACUGUCUCUCUAAUGGUUAAAUCCUGGAAGUCAGAGACAAAGAAGCCAGUGGACGCAGUCCUUCCAGGUCAGACUCCCGAGCAGCAAGCAGCCGAAGGAAGGGUGCAGAGCGGACUGAUGGAACAAGGCAGGACCAUCAGCAGAGCCUUUCUACUCCUAGAUAUUUUACCCAGGAGAACAAAUACAUCCAUCCGUACAGAGACUUGUUCACAGCUGCCUGUGGAUCCUAGCCAAGAACGACACCACCCAAACACCCACCAACAGGAAAAAAUAAACAAAUUGUC